rnacentral:rRNA from 1 species
AUUGAACGCUGGCGGCAGGCGUAACACAUGCAAGUCGAGCGGGGUGAUGGUGCUUGCACUAUCACUUAGCGGCGGACGGGUGAGUAAUGCUUAGGAAUCUGCCUAUUAGUGGGGGACAACAUCUCGAGAGGGAUGCUAAUACCGCAUACGUCCUACGGGAGAAAGCAGGGGAUCACUUGUGACCUUGCGCUAAUAGAUGAGCCUAAGUCGGAUUAGCUAGUUGGUGGGGUAAGGGCCUACCAAGGCGACGAUCUGUAGCGGGUCUGAGAGGAUGAUCCGCCACACUGGGACUGAGACACGGCCCAGACUCCUACGGGGGGCAGCAGUGGGGAAUAUUGGACAAUGGGGGGAACCCUGAUCCAGCCAUGCCGCGUGUGUGAAGAAGGCCUUAUGGUUGUAAAGCACUUUAAGCGAGGAGGAGGCUCUUUUGGUUAAUACCCAGAAUGAGUGGACGUUACUCGCAGAAUAAGCACCGGCUAACUCUGUGCCAGCCGCCGCGGUAA